GAUGAACGCUGGCGGCGUGCUUAACACAUGCAAGUCGAGCGGAAAGGCCCACUUGUGGGUACUCGAGCGGCGAACGGGUGAGUAACACGUGAGUAAUCUGCCCUUCACUCUGGGAUAACGUUCAGAAAUGGGUGCUAAUACCGGAUGUUCAUCAUGUCUCGCAUGGGGUGUGGUGGAAAGAUUUUUUGGUGGGGGAUGUGCUCGCGGCCUAUCAGCUUGACGGUGGGGUAAUGGCCUACCGUGGCUUUGACGGGUAGCCGGCCUGAGAGGUUGACCGGCCACACUGGGACUGAGACACGGCCCAGACUCCUACGGGAGGCAGCAGUGGGGAAUAUUGGACAAUGGGCGGAAGCCUGAUCCAGCAACGCCGCGUGAGGGAUGACGGCCCUCGGGUUGUAAACCUCUUUCACCAUUGACGAAGCUGCAUCUUUUUGGGUGUGGUGACGGUAGGUGGGGAAGAAGCACCGGCCAACUACGUGCCAGCCGCCGCCGUAA
rnacentral:rRNA from 1 species